GAUGAAGAACGUAGUGAAAUGCGAUACGUAAUGUGAAUUGCAGAAUUCAGUGAAUCAUCGAGUCUUUGAACGCACAUUGCGCCCCCUGGUAUUCCGGGGGGCAUGCCUGUCCGAGCGUCAUUGCUGCCCUCAAGCACGGCUUGUGUGUUGGGCCUCCGUCCUCCUCCCGGGGGACGGGCCCGAAAGGCAGCGGCGGCACCGCGUCCGGUCCUCGAGCGUAUGGGGCUUCGUCACCCGCUCUUGUAGGCCCGGCCGGCGCUUGCCGACACAUCAAUCUUUUUUCCAGGUUGACCUCGCAUCAGGUAGGGAUACCCGCUGAACUUAAGCAUAUCAAUAAGCGGAGGA
rnacentral:misc_RNA from 1 species